UACGGAGGGUGCGAGCGUUGUCCGGAAUCACUGGGCGUAAAGGGCGCGUAGGCGGCUCGGUAAGUAGGGGGUGAAAUCCUGCGGCUUAACCGCAGGGCUGCCUUCUAAACUGUCGAGCUCGAGCACGGUAGAGGCAGAUGGAAUUCCCGGUGUAGCGGUGGAAUGCGUAGAGAUCGGGAAGAACAUCAGUGGCGAAGGCGGCGUUCUGGACUGUCUCUGACACUGAAGAACGAAAGCCAGGGGAGCAAACGGG
rnacentral:rRNA from 1 species